CAUGCCUGGUUCAUGCCCGCAAACCCUAAGUUUGGAGUCAUGGUUGCCUUUUAUCCAUCCAGCACAACCAUUGCGCUGCAAACCUGCUUGUGGGAGUCCUUCGCCCGCUUGCGGGUUUCCUUCACCCGCAUACCAUGCCUGGUUCAUAACUGCGCACCCUAAGUGUGGAAGUCAUGGUUGUCAUUCAUCCAACUAGAACAACCAGUGCUGAAGUCACAUAUUUCAUUCACCCAGCCCGCGCUACCAGUGGGUUGGAAGCCCGCGUGCGGGUGUCCUUCACCCGCAUACCAUGCCUGGUUCAUGCCCGCGCUCCCUAACAAUGUGCCUGCGAGGAGGUACUUCUCCGCUGCAAAGGGUUUUUGGGCCUCGAAUACAAAAAGGAACUCCGCGUUAGGAGCAGCCACCGGGUGCAUGUAAGUCGGUGGACCGGAAUCCGGCCACCCACCCUGAUUUGUGUUUAACAUGAUUAGGAAUAUCGAUGUUUAGAAAGUUAGCAGUGUGCUUCACAACAGGUGCCUUUAUAAAAAAUAUAAAAAGACAUUCCGCCGCUUGCCGAACACGAGGAAAAUGGAAAGAUGGGGCGGUAUUGGGAGGAUGACGAGGACUGGGCGGAGGCCCGGUACAGGAGGCGCCGCAGGCCUACACGAGGCUUCUGGGGUGCGAUGGCGUGGCACAGGGGCCCGAACGGAGACAUCUCCUGGGGGCCAAUGAAUCACAGACCUUGAGGCCAGGGAGACAGACUAAAUUACAUGACCUACUGUGGUGUUUGUCUUCACUCGCGCCUGCGGUGGAAAAAAAAAAAAAAAAGCGAUGCUUCGAGUCUGGCAGUACCUCUGCAGACCCACCAGAUGGCGACUGUGGGAAGGAUGCCGAGCAGGACGAGAGAGGAAAAACUCCGUCAGGAGGGGUCAGGGCUUCCUGUAUGGAGGACCCGUCCGGAACAAUGCGCAUGCAUGCGAGGAGGUACUUCUCUGCUGCAAAGGGUUUUUGGGCCUCGGACUAAAAAAGGAAGUCCGCGUUAGG